UCCAGGGUAGCCUAGUGGACAUGGCACCUGCCCGGUAAGCAGAAGGUUAUGGGUUCGAUUCCCGCCCCUGGAC